UGCUAACACACACAGAGAAUCCCGCACGCACACGCGUUCCGGGAAAGGGGAGGAUUUGCUGAGCCCGAAGGAUUUCACACUAGAGUUAGCGGUAUGAGCAAUCAUCACCAAGAUCUCAAAGACAACUGAGAUUUCAGGAGAACGGAAAAGGAGAAACACAGCACAUAGAAUUCAAAAGGGGGGAAUAGGUAGAGCCAAGAGCUGUCAAUCAUUCCAGCCUCUACUCCCAGAAAAGUAAUGAAGCAAAUAAUCACACAUCUUUAAGUACAUGGUAGCUAAUGAACUGGUAAGUCACAGCCAACAUGUAUUUGUCAAGAAAAGCAUAUCAAGCCACACUCAUCCUGUUACACUGUGACAGUGUAACGAGCCUUGGAUGGAAGUAGCAGUGUUAUGUGUUGUGACUUGACUUAGGUAAGGCUUUUGACACCAUCUCAGAGAACUCUUAAUUGAGCAAGCAAAUGAAAUAGCAUAAUGAAAUGACUGCAAAACUACAUCAGCCGUGCUUCAUUGUGAUGAACAAUAGGAUACAGCAAAUACAGUUCCUUGUAAGUGGGUAUGUCUGGAGUUUGGUACCAAGUCUAAUAGUGUGAAUGACAGAGUACAGUUUACAUUGAAGGGAUCUGCCAGGAAUUCCAGACCGGCAGAGCUGGAAGCAUGUGACAAGACAAGAAAAGAAUUCAAAAUGCUCCUGACAAACUGGUUGCAGAAACAGGAUGUAAUGGAAUAACUACAAGUGCCAACUUCAACAUUUAAGCAGGAAAGUAAGAACUGCACAAUGGCAAGACUUUGAACAGACAAACACUGGGUCUUCAGAAAAGGGGAUGGGAAUCAGAGAACGUAACAAACUGAAUAUGCAUCAACAAUGUCACACCAUUGUGGGAAAAAGCUGCAGUACAGGAGAGAUGUGUAAACAGCUGUUAUAUCUAGGCCAUACGGAGAAGUUCUUCUCUUACUUAAUACUGGCACCAGGAUGAAAACACCCACGUUUGUUGCUUAGUCCUGCUCUCCUUGGCCAGGCCUGCGCCAGCAGUUACAACACAGCUUCUGUCAGAAGAAAGCAGCUUCUUACCCAGCCUCCCACAGUUGUCCCCUGUUUGCGGUCUCACCACUAAGGAGUGUUAUUGUCAUCUGCCAUGGAAGCAGAGAGAGGCAGCUGUUGGGGUAGCACUAUCUGCCUGGCACAUGAGUCUCCAUUCUUAGCUGCUCCUCAGGUAACCACCAUAAUAAAUGUUAUCAAUUAACAAAUACUGGAUUGAUUGUCAGUAGUAAUUAAUUAA